rnacentral:rRNA from 1 species
UACGAAGGGGGCGAGCGUUGUUCGGAAUUACUGGGCGUAAAGGGCGCGCAGGCGGCGCCGGAAGUCGGGCGUGAAAGCCCCGGGCUCAACCUGGGAAUUGCGCUUGAUACUCUGGUGCUGGAGUUCGGGAGAGGAGAGUGGAAUUCCCAGUGUAGAGGUGAAAUGCGUAGAUAUUGGGAAGAACACCGGUGGCGAAGGCGGCUCUCUGGACCGAGACUGACGCUGAGGCGCGAAAGCGUGGGGAGCAAACAGG